rnacentral:rRNA from 1 species
GAUGAACGCUGGCGGCGUGCCUAAUACAUGCAAGUCGAGCGGACGGACGAGAAGCUUGCUUCUCUGAUGUUAGCGGCGGACGGGUGAGUAACACGUGGAUAACCUACCUAUAAGUCGGGGAUAACCUCGGGAAACCGGAGCUAAUACCGUAUAAUAUUUUGAACCGCAUGGUUCAAUAGUGAAAGACGGUCUUGCUGUCACUUAUAGAUGCAUCCGCGCUGUAUUAGCUAGUUGGGAAGGUAACGGCUUACCAAGGCAACGAUGCGUAGCCGACGUGAGAGAGGGAUCGGCCACACGAGAGGUGAGACGCGGUCAAGGCUCCUAAGAGACGCACCAGUAGGGAAUGGUCCGCAGUGGGCGAGAGCCUGACGCAGCGACGGCGCGUGUGUGGUAGAAGUGUUCGGAUCGGAAUAAUGGGUUAUUAGGGGAGAACAGAUGUCGAAGUAACUGUGGCGAUCGUGACGGUACCUAAUAAGAAAGCCACGGCUAACUACGUG